AACAUUCAACCUGUCGGUGAGUUU
rnacentral:ncRNA from 10 species